AGAGUUGAGUUGAGAGAUGAGUUGAGUUGAGUUGAGUCGAGUUGAGUUGUUGAGUUCAGUUAGUUUAGUUGGGCCUGAAUAAUGGAGCCAUUUUGUGUACUGGGUAUCCCACUCUUGGACAAUUUCAGCCUUAUUCUACUUACUUUCUUGAUUGGUAGCAUCUGGGUGUUUUUUUCUAGGUAUUGGAGCUGGACACAGGUGGCAGCCAAGACAGAGUCAUUCCAGUGAGUGUCCAUAUCUCCUUGUGGUUCCAUGUUCAUUCCCCCAUGACUAGAAAUGAGUGAAGAGAUCAAGAAACCCACAGGU
rnacentral:lncRNA from 1 species